AGAAAGAACGCAGCCCUACUGACACCUUGGUUUUGGCCUGGUGAGACCAACUUUGGACUUUUCACUUCCAAAACUGUUUAAAGAAAAAAGUCUACAGUUCCAGUUAGUCUACUUUUGUAACAGGACCUGACAACUCCACUCUACUUCCAAUCCUGAAAGACUACAGGAAAAACUAGCCCAAGUGACUGAGCUGGGGGGUCCCAGUCAUCGGUAGCAUGGAAAACGAAGAGUGCUCUGGACAGUGGGUGGAGAAGAUUCAAGUACAUCUUCCUUGCUGACAAUAUGCUCUCCUAUCUUUUGUAAGAGUACACAAUUUAAAUUUCUAAAAAUUCAUUACAAUACAAAGCAAAACAAUCCCUCGUAGAUUUAUAAUCAAACUAAUAUGCCACUUAGAAAAGAUUUGAAAUAAAUGCAAAUACCUAGGUACAA
rnacentral:lncRNA from 1 species